CAGCAGCCGCGGGAAUACAGAGGGUGCGAGCGUUAAUCGGAUUUACUGGGCGUAAAGCGUGCGUAGGCGGCUAAUUGAGUCGGAUGUGAAAUCCCCGAGCUUAACUUGGGAAUUGCAUUCGAUACUGGUUAGCUAGAGUGUGGGAGAGGAUGGUAGAAUUCCAGGUGUAGCGGUGAAAUGCGUAGAGAUCUGGAGGAAUACCGAUGGCGAAGGCAGCCAUCUGGCCUAACACUGACGCUGAGGUACGAAAGCAUGGGGAGCAAACAGGAUUAGAUACCCCCGUAGUCCCUGUCUCUUAUAU
rnacentral:rRNA from 1 species